rnacentral:misc_RNA from 1 species
AAUCAUCAAAAACCUUUUUCUUUUGACCUUCUUUGGUCGGGAAACGGAUUUUUGGACUUGGAGGUUCCAUGCUUGCUUUCAAGCCUUUGAAAGCGAGCUCCUCUCAAAUGAAUUAGUGGGGUCCGCUUUGCUGAUCCUUGACGUGAUAAAGAUGCUUCUACGUUUUGGAUUUAGCACUGUCCCUUUGGACGCCUGCUCCCAACUGUCCCUUGGACGAUGAUGGUGCUCCGGUCGCCGCCAUUUACAUUGGCGUAGAGGCUGGACCCACGAGAAAAAA